CGGCAACAGCUCAAAUUUGAAAUCUGGCUCUCGGGCCCGAGUUGUAAUUUGUAGAGGAUACUUUUGAUGCGGUGCCUUCCGAGUUCCCUGGAACGGGACGCCAUAGAGGGUGAGAAUCCCGU
rnacentral:rRNA from 1 species